UGUUUUUUUUUUCUUGUUUUGUAAAUCAAAGCAGACCAACUCUUGAGUCAAGGGGAAGUCUUGCAGGUUACAAGUAGUAUAGUCGAUGGGUAUCCCUUGGGGCUCUCACAGGUUGGUUCAUUGCGUGCAUCCUCACGGGCCACCGGAUCACCGGCAGUGAACCUCCCUCAUCACUAGCUGCGCGGGUUUGGCGGUGCACAGACGGCACAUGUGGCCACAGUUGCCCAAGAUCACUCUGCUAUGCAGAAGACACAGGCACGGAGGCAGGGUCUUGAUCGGUGAAAGUGCAUGCCGCUGCAGCACCCAGCACUACAUGGCACGGACCACCCGCCCAAGUGGUGAACCAUCGAAUAGAAGUUCGCUGAAACAGCGCCCAGGCGAUGCAAAGUCCAGCCACCAUUACAGCAGCUCAUUCAUCCAAAUAAUGACUGAUAUAAGCUAUUCUUACAUAGCGUAUUGGAAAAAGAGUACACAGCCCAUCAUGGAUAGAAAACUAAAAGUCAACCUUAUAUGAUGUACCGGCAAAAUAAAGUACUUAGUGCAGCUUCGAUGGAGAUUUGGAUAGCCAGCACAGUCUGCCGUCGACCUCAAUUUAAUCAGAUGCCUAAAAGUAAGUACCAGAGAGUUACAUCAGUAGUUAUCAAAAAGAAUGGUCACCAAGACAAAAAAAAAAUCUCCGAAGAGAAUGGUCUACCAACACGAUGAAACAAAUCAAUUUAAUUAUCAAUAUGUUACUACAUAAAAUUAUCUCGUAAAGGACACUAUAACUGCAUCAACACACAAGGAAAAAUUAUGUCCUAAAAGCAUAAUGUACUGACAUUAUCAAUGCUCAAAAAUAUUAUAACAAACCUGAGCAAUCCAAUCAUCAAACAAAAGCCAAUAGCAAAUGCUCGCUGGUUACAACAAAAUGGGAAAUCAGACGGGUCGACCCAUAUCACCAGAGAGGCUAACUAAAUCAUGGUGCCAGAGGAGUCAAGGCAACUCAUGAGAACGGUGACUCGCUGCAUGCUAGGGGGUGGCAAGGAUGCCUUGUUCUAGGAGGAUAGAUGGAUGCAGGGCUGUAGGGUUCAGGAGGUGGCUCCCAACCUAUACGCGCGGGUCAGCCCUGGGAUGCGCUCGAGCUACACGAUGAGCCAAACACUGACUGAUGACGGAUGGGCCGCCCAUGUGGGGCCGGAGAAGAUCGUGGCAAGGCUUACCGGGCAAAAAUGACAAAUCUGACCUAUGAACGAAACUAUUUCACAAACUAAACUAUGUUUGAAAAAAAAUUCACCCGACUGACUCUUUUAUGUAGCACCCGACAUCUAGGCGUCACACUACACUGUGCGGCGCCUAGCUCUUAGGCGCUACUCGACUAGCCAGUGUCGCAUCCUAGGCUGCCUGAAAAAUGCUAAGUCAGUGUGCAACGCCUGAGAGCUAGGCGCUACACUAUAUAGUGCAGCGCCUAGCGUAUAGGCGCUGCACUGAUGGCCGGUAUACUUCAGCCUUUCGCCCAACAUCACUGUAAACAAGGCAAGCUUCUGUCGGAAGCAGCACAACACAGAGCAGUGUAUAAAUACGCUGAUGCAUGCAUGGAUAGGUUUGCAUGCAUCCCAGAACCAGAACUAGCGUGUCCGCCGAUGACGCCGUCGACGUGUUUCCGUCGCAUUGGGACAGGCAUGCGGAGCCUCGCUAGGCUCACGUGGGCAGGGCACGUACGCACUUGCUGCUCUAUCCAUCUCGUGUCCACAACAAAGGACUGAAACGAGCUAGGGGAUAGGGCGACAGCGACAUGUCUGAAGGUAGGUUAGCUAGAUUCAUAGAUGCUACGUAACCUUGGAUGGUGCAUGUCAUGAGUAGUGCAACGCCUAUACGAGGCGCUAAACUAUACAGUGUAGCGCCUAGCUCUCAGGCGUUGCACAUUGACUUAGCUUUUUUCGGGCAAUCUGGGUUACGACACUGGAUAGACGUGUAGCGCCUGGAAGCUAGGCGCUCCACAGUGUAGUGUGACGCCUAUAUGUCGGGCGCUACACAAAAAGAUCAGUUGGGUGAAAUUUUUUCAAACACAGUUUAGUUUGUGAAAUAGUUUUUCUAUAGGUCAGAUUUGUCAUUUCUGCCGGCUUACGGAGUAUCUCCACCUGUGGACCGAGACCGAUCAGAUCUUGCUGAACUUUGAUGCAAACGACUCCGUCACAUGGUCCUGUGAGAAGGACUGACGCUUUUCGACUAGGUCAGUGUACACAGCGAGAUUCUGGGGCAGGGAAGUGAUAUCUAAUAGCGAGCUUCACCUGGCGAUUGAAGGCCCCGCUUCGCUGCCGCUUCUUCGCUUGGAUGGCCCUCUAGAACAAGUGUUGGACGGCAGACCGGCUAGCCCAGAGCGAUGCCCUUUUUGCGACCAGGAGGAAGAAACCAUCAAUCACCUGCUGCUAGACUGUGUGUUUGCCAGAGAAGUUUGGACCAUCAUCUCUGAUGCCGCAGGCAAGCCGAACUGGGCCCCGACGAGGGGGGAAAGCAUCGCAUAAUGGUCUGUAGAGAAGGGUGGAUCAGGUCGGGCUUGCAAGGAUAUUAGGACGGUCUGAACCCUCGUGCUCUGGGAACUAUGAAGACAUCGCAAUGCCAUUGUGUUCGACACCGCCCCCCUUCCAUGAACCAUGUGAUCAGCAACAUCCAGGCUGAGGUAAUGGCAUGUAAGCAAGUGGGAAUGAUAAAAGAAGACGCCAGUACUUUCCUAGCGAAAUUAGGAGAGUGGGCUAGGAGGCCGUAUUAGGCGAACACCGUAGCAUAUGUGGGGUGGAGUUCGUGUUCAUAUUGUAGUAUGUAACAUCAUCGUGGAGGGGCUUUUUUUUCCGUUCCCUUCUUUAAUAUAGAGUGCGCACACUCGUGUGUAUUUAAAAAAAAAAGGAAUGUCGGGCCAUCAUUUGGAUGGCCCGUUAUGCUUCUUUGUCGUUUUGUGUGUGUGCGUGUGUGAUGUGUGUGCCCUUUGAUCUUGCUCUUCCCCUCGAUUGGUUGAUCGUUUUGCUCGGCUGCUUUUGCUUGUUUUCUGUGUGGCCUAUGUCGGGGUGUGCCACUUGAGUGUUGUGUUGCUUUGAAUGGCCAAAUAAAAGCAUCUACAACCGGACCCUCCACUUCUCCCUCAAACGUCCAAAACGCCCUCCCGGCCAGUGUCCGAUCAGAAAAAACUAACCCAACCGAACCCCCCACUUCGUCCCUAAACGCCCGGACUGACCGGCCUACCUCAAACUCGUCUCAAAUCUAAGGGCAAUAUGAGGCUGUCUGGUCACGUUCACGCACAUCGACUCGACCCCAUGUGCAGCCACUCAAUCCUCGUCUCUCUCUCUCUUCUCUUCGCUGAUGCAUGCCGCCCCAUCCGCGCCGCCUGUGACCUAGCCGCCGCGUCCGCGCAGCCCGCGUGCCCGCGCAGCCCGGAGCUCUCGCGCACCUUGGCCGUGUUCGCACCGCCCGCCUGCUGGCCGCCGCGUGCCCGCGCCGUAUGCUGGUCACCGAACACUCCCACAAGGAAAUAUUAUCCGCGACCACUUCCCUGAGGUCAUGGGGUUUGGAUCCACGCCUACCGCCGAUUUUAAUUGGGAUGAGCUCAACAUCCAAUCCCUUGAUCUCCAUGAGCUUGGUAAUGAUAUAAUUGAGGACGAGGUGUGGGAGGCCAUUAAGGAGAUGCCCGACGACAAGGCACCCGGCCCCGACGGAUUCAUCGGGCUCUUCUUCAAGAGAUGUUGGGGCUACAUCAAACAUGACAUCAUGAGUCAAUAGAUGUUUCGGCGCCCUUCGCACUAACAACCUCCAGUGGCUCAAUUCUGCCAAUGUGGUACUGUUACCCAAAAAAGAAGGGGCCAAGGGCAUUUCCGACUACAAACCCAUUAGCCUUAUUCAUGUCGUAGCAAAAAUCAUUGCCAAGGUGCUAUCCCUAAGGCUCGCACCCCACAUGGGUGCCCUUGUCUCCCACGUGCAGAGCGCAUUCAUUAAGAAAAGGAGCAUUCACGACAACUUCAUGUACGUUCACAACUUCGCCCGCCGGCUCCAUAAGUGCAAGACUCCCACCCUCCUUUUCGAACUCGAUAUCAAAAAAGCCUUUGACUCGGUCAAAUGGGAAUACAUUUCGGACUUGCUUCAACCAAAAGGUCUGCUAGAUAAAUUUAGAGAUUGGGUUGCAGCUUUGCUUUCCUCGUCAUCAUCACGGUUCCUCCUCAACGGCAUCCCUGGACAACCCAUUAAGCAUGGCAGCGGUUUCAGGCAAGGGGACCCUCUUUCGCCUCUGCUAUUCGUGACGGAGAUAGACCCACUUCACCACAUCCUUGAUCUAGCAACUCAUAAGGGCCUUAUUCACAAGCUUCGUGGACGAGGGGCCAUGGUGAGAACCUCCCUGUAUGCUGACGACGCGGCGGUUUUCAUGGCUCCGAUCAAGACAGACAUCGACAACCUGUCGAUCAUCCUAAGAGGCUUUGGGGAUGUCACGGGCAUGUGCACCAAUCUCUAGAAAAGAUAUGUUGUGCCCAUUAGGUGUGCUAGUCUCGACCUGGAGCACAUCCUAAGUAAUAUGCCGGCGACCCGGGCCUCUUUUCCCAUAAAAUAUUUGGGCAUCCCACUAUCGGUUUGGCAGCUUCGGAAAAUUGAUUUCCAUUAUCUAGAGGACAAAGUAGCUGCCAAGUUGGUCACUUGGGAGGGGCAGAACAUCACCACCAUUGGCCGAGCGGCGCUUGUCAAAUCUGUGGUUGCUUCUCAAGCGAUAUACUCCAUCACGUCGUUGAUUGUUCCGCAAGGAACUCUUCACAACCUGAAAAAGAUUAGGGGAGCCUUCCUUUGGUCUGGAUCUGACAAGACAACCGGCGCACAUGCAAAGUCAAUUGGGAAAUUGUUUGCCGUCCUUCUGCAUACAGAGGCCUCGGGGUGCUAAACAUUGACAAGUUUGGUCGCGCAUUAAGGCUGAGAUGGUUGUGGUAUGAAUGGAAGGAGCCGAGCAACUAUGGUUGGGUUUGGGUAACCCAUGUACUGUUCAAGACCAUGAUCUCUUCUAUGCAUCCACCAUGAUAGUCAGGGGCAAUGGUGCAAAAAACACCUUUUUGGGACUCCCCUUGGCUUCUCGGCCACAAGCCCAAGGACAUUGCUCCUCUGAUCUUUGAAGCCUCAAGGAGGAAAACUUGGAAGGUGUGUGACGCCCUCAAGGCGAACGCUUGGAUGCUCCAGAUCAAGAGGGACACCGUCAUCUCCGGAGACCACGUCCGGGAAUUCUUCACCCUUUGGAUGCUCACUCAUGAUUUUCACAUUGAUGACUACGCCGAGGAUGACAUUGUGUGGAAGCACUCCAUGGAUGGGGUUUACUCGACGUCCACUGCUUACAAGGUGCAAUUCCUGGGUUUAACGCUAUCUCCUAUGGACUUCAUGGUGUGGAAAGUCUGGGCCCCUCCGAAAGUUAAGUUUUUUGCAUGGCUUGCAUUGCAAGGGCGGAUUUGGACUGCCGACCGUUUGGAGCGUCGUGGCUGGGCAAAUUGUGGCAUUUGCCCCCUAUGUAAGAGAGAACAAGAGACGACCAUUCACCUCUUUGUUAGGUGCCGUUACUCUACACGGCUAUGGAACAUGGUCAUCCAAAAUUUGGGCUUGCACACAUGGACACCACCACUUGGCAUCUCCACGCAUCCCUCUUCGAAUGGUGGGACAAGAGGACCGACACGACGAACCCCAACAGGCGAGUUAUGGCCUCUCUCACUAUGCUUGUCUUGUGGACAAUUUGGAAUGAGAGAAACGCUCGGGUGUUCCGGCUCGGGUGUUCCGGCACAAGAGCGCGCCGCCUCCAAGCUUUCUCCAACUUGUAACUGAUGAGGCAAAGCUUUGAGUAACCGCCGGCGCUAAGAAACUAGGGAAAAUUGUAAUAAGUGAGUAAUUGUCAGGCCGUGUUGGGUCAGGUCUUGUAACACUCCAAAAACUCUAUCCUUCUCAUUUAAUAGAUUAGGCAAAUCUUUUGCCUCCAUUUCAAAGAAAAAAAUGGAUGGAUCUUCGCCUGCUACGAUAUGCUGGAUAUGUGCCAGUGAAGAUGUUGAUGACCUAGUGUGAGGCCGUCAUGGUCUACCAAGGCAUGCCCGACUUAGCGAGGCCAAAGGUCCUAACGAGAACUGCCCAGGCCAAAGGUCCGGGUAGCUGUGGCAUCGCCGUGCGAUAGUUUUUUUUUUUCCAUGAAUAACGAGAAGAGUCGUUGUCCGUCUUAUCCUGCGCCAGGCCGGCGAGGAUGAUCCAAUAGGUGACCGCCUCAGCGACCGUAGACCGUAUGCAAACAAGAGGUUGGCCAAAUGGCUACUUGUGCCUACGUAACCUGGAAUCCGCCGAACACCUUUCCUAUAAUUGCAACAUCUCCUACUCUGUUUGGCUCACAUAGCAGCGCAAUGGUAUGGAUGCAAUUCUUUACAUCCGGAUACAUGGAAGAAGAGCACAGAAAUCAUCACGUCCAUGAUCGACGGAGCUAGGCCGGAGUUCCUUCUGUCCUAUGGGAGAUUUGGCAGGAGAGAAACGGAAGCACUUUCAGAGGAAAAAUUGAAUCCUCGACUCCAAUUGUCAGGAGAACGCUGGAGUUAUGGAGGCCAGGUAGGAGCAGCAAAAUUAGAGCACCCUUUUGGGGAUCCACCGAGAGAAUAAUCAGUACUGAUGCCUGUACUCUUUUUUUAUCCUUGAUCCUUGGGUCACCUGACAUUCCACUUUUGCAUUCCUGCUAAUAUCAAUAUAAGCCAGCCAUCAGCUGGAUCUUUUAAAAACAAAAUCUGGUGACCGAGUAGCUCGGGAUAACAGAAGCAUGUGCCAGGGCAGCAAAAAUCCACAUUGCUCAAGGGUUCAAAUUACAGAGACAAGCACGCCCGCUUACACAACUGUUAAAAUUUGUUCUUUUCAUAACACCGCAUACAUCACGUUUUUCCACAGCAAUAUCGCUAGUACAUGAUGCCAUGAUCUUACAUGUUAAACAUACCAAGUCCAGUACAUGAGUACCCUACUCACACAUUGCUUUGCUUGUACAGCUUCGUGUCCAGCACUUGCUUACCACACAUCGCACACACCCCUGAAAUUAGCUACCAGUAUGAGCAAAAUUUUGGGAACUACUACAAAACAUGCUAAAAAUUGGCAGCCAUAAGUUUGAUCCUUUUACCAAAUAGCGUGCUAAAUACCAAGGGCACCUCUAGCUGAACCCUCAAAAUUUAACUCCUCAAACACCUUUAUCAAACCUUAACUCCUCAAUUUUGAGAACGGUUCUAGCAGAACCCGCGAAGUUGAGGAGGUUGGGGCACUUCUGCCCAAAUUUGAGAAGUGCAGUUAAAUCCUUUCAAGGGUUCGGCUAGAGUUACCCUAAGACUAUAUUACUAGAUAAAUUCCAUGAUUAGCAGACAAACUUAAUGUGCCAGAAAUAACCACCGCCAAAGAAAAACAAUACAUGUUGUAUAAACUGUUCCAAAAGGAGUUUGCUGCUUACCUUUUGAAUAGGCACAGGUGUGGCAGUAUUUACCGUCCUGGUGCACCUGUUGCUUGCAGAUUAUGCAUUUGGUAUUUCCAUAAGGAGUCCACCUGAUAUUUAGCAGUACAGCAGAGUUAGACUAUAAUAUCUUGAAACAACAAUUUGAACAUGUGCAAGUUAAGNNNNNNNNNNNNNNNNNNNNNNNNNNNNNNNNNNNNNNNNNNNNNNNNNNNNNNNNNNNNNNNNNNNNNNNNNNNNNNNNNNNNNNNNNNNNNNNNNNNNNNNNNNNNNNNNNNNNNNNNNNNNNNNNNNNNNNNNNNNNNNNNNNNNNNNNNNNNNNNNNNNNNNNNNNNNNNNNNNNNNNNNNNNNNNNNNNNNNNNNNNNNNNNNNNNNNNNNNNNNNNNNNNNNNNNNNNNNNNNNNNNNNNNNCAAACAGCUCAUUUACGACAUAUGUCAUCCUCUCCUUACCAUCUCUCCUGUCGUACCACCCUCUACAUCUCACCCCGGCUGACGAAUAUUGGCUAUAGGUGCACAUUGCAUCAAGAUCAUUCACCUUGGAAGAGUUUACAUAUGGAUAUCACAAGUGGACACAAGCAUCUUGGCCAAUAAAUGAAGAUAACAAAUAGCACAAUGAGAUCUCAAGGCUUCAACAUAAAGCAAUAUUUGAGUCUUAAGGUUCAACCAUAAGGCAAUUGAAAAUAUUUGUUCCUUCUCCAUAUCUAAGGCCACAAAACCGAAAACCGGAUCAAGACCAAAACCGGAAUAGCCGAAUUCUCGGUUUUCGAAUCCUCUUUUAAGGUUUCUAUUUCAGUUUUGCUGGAUGUAAGUCGCCUGAAUUUCGAAUUUGGAUCAGUCUAUCUUAGGGUGCAGGGGGGAGAAGCAUCCUUCUUGUCUAUCUUAGGGGUGCGUCAGGGUGCAGGUUCGCUGGAGAAAUUGGUAACUCGCCAGCUGUAAGGGAUGGCCCGGGGCAGCGGCAAGCAUGGUGGUGGGGGGAGGUCGAGGGGAGGGCGGGGCGGCGAGACGAUCGCAGGAGCGCCGCCGGCCGCGGGCGGAGGAGGCAGGCUGUCCGGCUGGCGGUUGUUGGCAGUUCAGAUCGAGGCCGGGAGGACGAAGACGAUGAACAGUGUUUUCAGAGGUAGAAGAAGAAGGUCUGGCCAUUCCUUUUGCAUCCAACGGCAGGGAACAAAUCGACUUAUCCCAAAAACAAAUUCAGUUGACUGGUCUCUAGUCAUUCCCUUUCUAUUUCUACUAAACCAAGUUAAAUUCAGCAGAACAACAACAUGGGCCUAAAGCCCAUUGUUCCAUUGAGCCCUACCUGGUACUAAGGUACAUGCUGCUGGCCGCCACUCCACUAAAGAAAGAGAUGCUGACUGCUCAUGUAAGCCUGAAGCCCACAAGUCACAACCCUAGCCAGGUCUUCAUUAGAUACCCUCACGAGAGUUUAAGCGAAAACCGAGCACUACGGCCAAUGGGCCAAGGAAUUGCAGCCACCUCGACCUCUGCAGCAGGCACAUCCAUCUCCUACGACGAAUGCGUCCGCUGUACCACCACAACGGGCACUGCCACCGUAGAAUCUCUAGCAGCAGUCGGCGCCGCCAGUCAUGCUCUGCCGCCCCGAACAACAGCAUCUCCAGGUCCUCUGGAGGCCAUUCUCGAUUUUUGCCAAGUGUGCAUGCCAUGCCAUCUUUAGAUCAUCCUCUCACCUGUUCUAAUAAUUUCUUCACGCCUCUCCCUGCUUUAAAACUACGUUCGGUGCAGCUGGGUUUAAACAGAAAAGAAAACCAAAUUUACAUUUAAACGGAAUUUUUGGUUUGUUGUUAUUGCUAAAUUCGGUUGUCAGCUGUGGCUAACCUAAUUUGGAAAAAAAUCUACAAGAAGCGAAUUGCACCCACCCCUAUUCCAUAUGAAUCCCUACCCCAUUAUGAGCCAUGUAAAAUCAAUACACUUCUAUCACAAUUCCUGCUCUCUUCCUUCCCCUUUCCUUUUAAUGCAUUACUCAACACUGCGUGCUCUUGGUGGCUGGAGAUGGUUGCAUUGUCAUGAAAUAAUCUGGACAGCCUGAUCUAGUUAGGAGAGGAAUGAGUCCACAAAGACGACUUUUUUCUCAAAUUUCCUUUGGGUGGUUCGAGCGUCAAGUACACGAGACUGGUAAGAAAACUCAACCAUAAAAAAAUGUAGUCACUGCCGAUAUUCGCAUGAUGAUCCAUUACCUCUUACAACCAAAGAUCCACCGUGAUUGAUUGCAAGAUGCAUUAUCCUAUUACUCUGCAACAGCUGUUUUAACAUAGGCUAAGAAAAUUGAAACCGGUGUAAUCACCCCAGUACCACGUCCUUAACAUACAAGUGAAAUCAGCGAUUACCAACCUGUCUAUAACAAUCUAAUAUUAGUACUAAUAGUGAAUUCGUGAUGGGAUGGAUUUUUCAACUUGCUCAAAAUCCAUAUCCAACAAAUCACCCCAGCACUCAGAUUCCCAUAACCGAUACCAGUCAGAAAGAUUCCGCUCAAAAUAGGGAAUUAUAACCUCUUCAACGUGAAAGGAUCGACUGGGGAAAGGAAGGGGGAUCCAACCUGCUCUUCUUGGAGAGGAGCUUGUUCUCGUUGAUCUUCCGGCCGCCGCCCUCGAAGGUGUUGCUGGCGCCCUCCUUCCACUUGUCCGGGACGAUCACCUUCCCCAGCUUCUUCUCGCCUGCAAAAGGAGGACCGCGCACGACUUAGAACACAAGACCCUCAUGGAAGACACGCACCCUAAUUCUAGGGCGGAAGAAAUUGACGAGAUCGAGUGGAAGGAUUGGCCAAUCCAGGAACNNNNNNNNNNNNNNNNNNNNNNNNNNNNNNNNNNNNNNNNNNNNNNNNNNNNNNNNNNNNNNNNNNNNNNNNNNNNNNNNNNNNNNNNNNNNNNNNNNNNNNNNNNNNNNNNNNNNNNNNNNNNNNNNNNNNNNNNNNNNNNNNNNNNNNNNNNNNNNNNNNNNNNNNNNNNNNNNNNNNNNNNNNNNNNNNNNNNNNNNNNNNNNNNNNNNNNNNNNNNNNCGGCCCGCCGCCGCCGCCGGAGAUCGUUUUUUUUUCUCUUGAGAUGCUGGUGAUCAGGAUCUGUCUGGAAGGGAAGAGGAAAGAGAUAGGACAGACCCGGGUCGUCGGGUCGGAUCGGGCGCCCCUAUGGGAAGCCUCGCGUCGGGGCUGCCCCAGAUGGGCCGGCCCAUCCGCGCGGGAGGCCACAGCCUAUUUUUUCUUUCUGUUUUCUAUAGUUCAAAAUAACAUGCAAAAAUGCACAAUGCUCACUGUAAAAAUGAUACAAACUUGCUGCAAAAAAAUUAUAUUAAGCCUUCAAACCAGACUACAAACUUUGAAUUACACAAGAAAAUAAUAAUAAUAAAGUAGGAUGAAGACAAUAAAAAUCGUACAAGUUCAUCAUAGAAAUGAAAAUUACACCAAGGGUGGAAAGAAAAACCUCGAAAUUGGGACAUACCAAAACAAAGACACGGUAAUUACAGGAACAUAAACACAGUAGAAAUCAUACAAGCUCAUUGUAGGUAUAAUAUUUCAAAAAAAGAUCUAGACGACGGAAGAAGAGCAGAUUUUUACAUGAUCGGUGACACAAAACUGAAAGAAACCAUGCCUCAUUACACCACACUGUAGGGCCCAGUUCUUUUCGCACAGGAUUCUACAGAAUCAAGAUUCUGGAAAAUUCUCCCAGAAUAUACUUCCCCCAGAAUCUAACACCGAGUUCUUUUCUGAGAUUGUAGUUUGAGAUUCUAGAAAGAGUUGUGUGCUGAAAUGUCUGUAUCACCCUUCGAGAGAAAUCAUUUGAUUAAUUGUUAACCGGCGAGGACCAAUCCAGCGGCGGCGAGUACCGGGACGGUGGCGGCGAGGUCAGGGGCGGCGAGGUGGGGCCGGCGGCGGUGCUGGAACCCUAGCGCACGGCCCUGCUCGAGAUAAGUGGGGAGGUAAGCGAUGCGAACCGUGGCUGGCUCGGUGGCAGUUUGGCUGUAAUAACCAGCUGCAAUAGGGGUACUCUAUUAAAUCCAAACGUUUUCUUUGGUGGGACUUGCCAGAAUCCUGAGAUUGUGGGAGAAACCAGGUAUUUUGAGAUUUUGGGAUUGCACUAGGAUUCUGGAGAAUCCGGUUGAGAUUUUGGAAGUUCAAUCGAGUUCUUUUCGCUCGGGAUUUUCGGGACCAAGAUUCUCCAUAAUCUGCUCAAAAGAACUGGGCCUAGAUCGUGAACAUUCACAUUGAUGAAAUUUCUAAACUAGAAACAACAGAGCAAAGCAAAAGGCUCACACAUAGCAACACACUAGUGAAGAAUUUACACUGAACUAUAUGAAGGAAAUAUGCUCUAGAGGCAAUAAUAAAAUUAUUAUUUUAUAUUUCUUUAUAUCAUGAUAAAUGUUUUUAUUCAUGCUAGAAUUGUAUCAACCGGAAACUUGAUACAUGUGUGAAUACAUAGACAAAACAGCGUGUCCCUAGUAUGCCUUUACUAGACUAGCUUGUUGAUCAAAGAUGGUUAAGUUUCCUAGCCAUGGACAUGAGUUGUCAUUUGAUGAAUGAGAUCACGUCAUUAGUGGAAUGAUGUGAUGGACAAUACCCAUCCGUUAGCUUAGCAUAAUGAUCGUUCAGUUUUAUUGCUACCACUACUAGAAAAACCCCUACUAAUGGCGCACCUAGUAUGGCCAUUAAUGGCGCAUCUGUGGUGCGUCAUUAACAGCACGCCAUUAGUAAUUUUUACUAAUGGCGCACCACCUGGUGUGCCAUUAGUAUCUGAUAUACUAAUAUACUAAUGGCGCACCGCGGGUGCGCCAUUAGUAUAGGCCAGGGUGCGCCAUUAGUAUGCCUCCCAGGGGCCAUGUAUAUCCAGGUGCUUUGGCAUACUAAUGGCGCACCACCACUGGAUGCGCCAUUAGUAACCAUGGCAUACUAAUGGCGCACUUACCAGUGAUGCGCCAUUAGUAUGCUUUGUCAUACUAAUGGCGCACUGUCAUGUGAUGCGCCAUUAGUAUGAAUAUUAGGUUUUUUUUAUUUUUUUAUUUUCUGGUUUUUGCACAGGUUACAAAAUGUAUAAUUUGACAAAAUAUAGAUAGCACACAUCAACAACAGAUUCAUCGAAUACAAUAGAAGAUUAGUCUUUGAAUACAAUUCAUCAUAUUAGUCUCCGAAUACAAUUCAUCAUAUUAGUCUCCAAAUUGAAAAGACCGAACAAAGAUAGAACAUUAUAUUACAAGUCUCGAGACCGCGAGUAGCGAGUUUGUCUUCACAUUACAAGUCGAUAUCGAUCAUCUAAACUACCAUCACAUAGAAGAGAGCUGCGGUCAUCACGAUGAGCAUCAUCACGAUGAAACUCGUCUUCAUCCGGUUCCUCCAACGCUCCCUCCCCUCUCCCGCUAGAUAGCGGGCGUAUCUAGAUUCGGCCUCGGCCCUAGUGGUGUACCCUUUGUAACUGUUACCGCUGAAUCGGUGAACCUGUCUCCGACACUCCUCCCAGUCAUCAUAGACUCCGGGAACCUUACCCUUGUACACGACAUACGUCGGCAUCGCUAUGCACUAGCCAAACGAAACGUUAGUACCAAUUCACAGACAAUACAUAAGCAAUAUAUAAUUAUGCAACAGAACGAUCGGAAGAGAAAAGCAAGACAUUAAUAGCAUCGAUUACAUCUAAGUUGAACGACUCUCGAAACCAAAGAGACAUACUACAAGUUCAUUAAAGUUUAAUUACAACAUGAGCCAAUCGAUGUUUCAGAACUAGACAACUCGACUCAAGGGACCGGAGCGUGGAUGAAGCCGCCGUCUAUCGUGGGAGUCAUGAAAGAACGAGCGUUGUCAUCCUGCAUUUGUAGCAUUGUGUCGAUGUCACUGUUGGACGGUUGAUUUCUGAGGUAGAACUGCCCCGAGGUACGAAGGACAUCUUGAUGGAUGAUUUCCGCAAACUCCGACUGGAUGCGAAAGAAUUCUUGUCGGAGGUCCGCGUCCUGGAUUGCCGACACGCUCGCGGCCCAAUCUUUGAGUUUACUCGGUAGCAGAAGUUGAUGAUGGUCCCGUACGAUCGCCCGCAUGUGAUGGAUGGCGUAGUAGGCACCCUUCUGACCGCCAGGCGGCUGCUUGACGCAGCAGAACAUCGUAUUGUGGGAGAACACGUGCUUGCCGUACUUACGAAUAGGCCUGGUGAAGGUGCCUCCAGAUUUGGCGUAGCCGGGGAGAACAUCAUCAAGAACCUUCUUGACAUUUGUGUAGUCUACGUUCGACUGACGGUCCAGGUCGAAAUACGUGGCCAUGGAAUAUUUGGGGCUUAGGAGGAUGAGCGUGCAACGUGUGUCAUUGCAGAAAACACGGAAUGUUAAAAGAAAAACGAUCGAAAUGUAAGAAUUCAUAUGUUACGGGCCGGUUGAGGGGAGGACUUACUCGGGAAAGUAAGGCACGAGGAAGUUAUCCUUAUCUUGGUUUGCCAGAAUGACGCCUUCGAGGUAAGAACUCGCGACUUCCCGGUCCCCAGCGCUGCCCAAGAUCUUGGCACGCAUGUAGAAGGGGUCGACUAUCACGAUGUCCGGGGUCUUGUCGCGAAUGAUCCGCAUCUCCAUACUCAGCGAAAAUAGCCGAACAAAGGUGUAGUGCAGCGGAUGAAGGUUCAACAUAGCGUGGAUGUCAUCAAAACGCAGGACGAUCGUACGCCCGAUGGAGUUAUCCACAAAGCCCUUGCCCUCUGGCACCUUGGCCGCGAAAACUGGGUAUGCCACAUCCUUCUCCCUGAGACGCCGCUUCUCCAAAGAAAGAACACUGUCAUGCAGACUCCGCAUAGCACCGGUUGCAGCAUUGAGCAUAUUUGUCGGUAGCAUCGCCCUACCCGCCACAUGCACCCUCCUCGAGAUAUCCUGCGGUGAAGGUGGCCCGUCCUGAGCACGGAUCGUACUCGGUGCCGGCUGGCUCGCACCCUUCUUAGUCUUUCUUUUGCGUGCCUUCUUCUUCUCCUGUAAUGGGACCGAGUUCUGCUCACAGACCGCCUUCUUGAGUGUGUUGGGGCUGAUAAUAUUUCACACCUCGCCUAUCUGAGGCUCGGUGAAGUCGGCAGCUGGAGGCGUCUCCUGAGAGCUGAACGCCAGACGGCGCCUGUUGCAACUUGGCUUCUCCGCGGUACCAGCUAGAUCGCACACGUCUUUUGUUGGGUUUGGUUCUUGAGAAGGAGGCCCCAUGAAGUCGCCAUCGUACCCAUGAUCGGCAAAGUACUGAUCGACGUUGCCAAAUGUAUCAUCGUCGUCGUCAUCGUCGUUCUGAUCCUGUGCCAUAUGCAUGUUUGGAUCCAGUGGCAUAGGGAUGUCCGGCACCGUUACGGCGGUCUUGCCAUGGGGCCGACUUGGCGCCGGCACGACUGGCGGUGUUGUCUUUGGGGUGGUGUCCCCCACCCCCAAACGAAUCUGGCUCUUCGGCCAAAGCAGGGGCCAGCUCAGGCAGGCGCUGAGGGUCAUCACGUCUUCAUCGUCGGCCCCGACGGGUUGAAUCGGAGGUAACAAGUCGUCGCAGCCUGGCAGCACCCGAACCAGUUGAACCCUAAACAAGUUGGGUGGCAUCUGGGUACCGUGGAACAAGGGGUUGCCCGGUUGAACGAUUUUGCCCUUGGCGACAUCGACCAACUCGUUGUUCACGAAGUGGAGGAGAGUGCACGGAACGUCGGCGGCACCCUGCGAAAACAUGUAGGGCGUCAGGGAUGCCCAGUCAAAGGCAAGGAGAUGAAGUCCUCGGCCGAGAGAGGCUUAAUUAGUUACCGUGAUGAUGGCGUCGAGCUCGGCUAAUGUCGACGCACCGCCAACGGCGGGCGUGCAGUUGACGAAGGUGCCGCUUGCUGCAGAGGUGCCGGCCGGCGUACACCCGGGUGCAUUAAGCUCCCGUGCCGGCGUUGGAGACACCAAUGUCGCCUCCGCCGGAGGCACCAAUGGCCCCGCCAUCGCAUUAUGCGAGUUGCUGGCCGUGAAGCUAGGAAUCGGGGGCGGCCCCUGUUGGCCGCUCGCAAUCCACGCACUCAACCCCGAGAUCAAGGUAGGCACAAGGGCGGUGAUCGUCGCUCUGAGUCGUUGUUCCACUUGCUCUUGGACAAUCUCCGGAAUCCGCACCACCUGUGCCUUGAGUUCUUGAACCUCUCGCGCCUGGCUUUCCGAGCUGGUCUUUUUCUCCUUCCGCACACCAGCGGUAUAGUAUGACCCCCAUUUUGUCGACAAGCCUUUGCCGGCCACACGACCAGCUGACGUCGGCUUACUGAGCUUAUCCUUGUUCUUCAUUACAUUCAACCCCCUAUUUAGAGUGGUGUCCCAAGGGUUGCUCUUAGUCGACCCCGCGCUACUGCUUUCAGUCGCCUGCGGAAGGAAUGUGAACCAUUUAGAAAUUUGGCUUCAUUAAUUAGAAUGCAACCAUAUGGAGCUAAUUACACGGGGGUGUAUUCCUUACCAGAACAAGCUCAAGCUGCCUGGUCUUCGGAUCCGUGGUAAGCUCCUUUGUUUUCGGGUCCUUCUUGUACCGGGCCCUGACAAAGUUUCUGGUCUGCUUGUCACCGUAUUUAUCGAAGAGGGGCGGUAGGCCUUGCUCGGCACGGUCCGCCUCCUCCUUGUCCCAUAUAGGCUCCGCCACUCUGUAACCGCCGGGACCGAGUGUGUGUUCCCCUAUGUUCAGCUCCCGCAUUUGUUUCCCCCACUCACUUGAUUGGGAGCUUGCGGUGCUCGAGCAAUUGAUCUUGAAGUCGUUGUAGUCAUCUUCGGUGAUCGAAGGAUUUUUCUCCUUGAUCUUCUGAUAACUCUCACCUUUCUCAAUCAUUCUCUUCACAUUGCUUUUCCAAGUAGACAGGGCCUUGCUCAUCUUCGUGAGGGCAGCAUUAUUCACUUUAUUCCCUUUGAGGCUUGUGUUUUCAAAUUCAGCGGGGAACUUGUAUCGUUCGUGCAGCUUCGUGAAGAGGAGGUUGCGCAAAUUCCCUCGGUCAGGAUGCCUCAGGUUCUCGGUGUUGAUCGAGACGGUGCUCCGGACAAUGCACCCGAGCUGAAGCGAGUACCCCUUGACUAUUCGUUCGGGCGCCGUUGGAUUCCCGUUGGAGUCCACUUCAGUAACUUCCUCCUUGAGGGUGCGGAGCACGAUCGGGCGCCGGUCCUUCCGUUGCCUCUUCGGUUGGCUGCCAUCUGUGCGUGCGCCGCCAUCAUCAGUGGUGGCAUCCUCGGCGGCACCAUCAGUGGUGGCAUCAGUGUGGUCAUCCUCGGCGGCACCAUCCGUGGUCUCAGGAUCGAUGGGGAAGGCGGCGGCCUCAUACAAGUGAGGUUGUUCCUCCAUCUCCUGGGACAGCUCCCAGAAUGCCUUGCCGCCCGAACCCCCGGCCUCAUCGUUGUGGGCCAUGUUUCUCUCUAAAUAGAAACAAAGUUUGGUCAAAAAGUUGGUUAUUGUCAAGGAACAAGAUCAUGGUCUCAUCAUUUAGGGUUUGUCAACACCGAGGCAUCCUAAAAUCUAAGCUUUUAUCAUUGAGGGUUUUUCGACGCCGAGGCACCCUAAGUACGCCGGGGCACUUGAUCCUACUUAAUUAACUACUAAGAUACCCCGGCCCAUGCAUUAGUCACAAGUACCCCAUAUGUCCUAUUUUUAGCAAAGUCAUGCUAAAAUUCACGGAAAAUUUCAGCAUGACCUUUGCUGAAAAUAGGACAUAUGGAGUACCCGAAUUUGCCGGAACGGAAGUUAAUCGACAUUCCGGCAAACUCAAGGGCCUCUCGGGGUACCUGCAAUAUCAUCACGACACGAUGGUCGGAGACAAAACCCAGCAAACUAGCACCACAAAAAAGUUAACAUCCGCCUGAUUAUUAUGAGGACUUCACUGCCACUGUUUACUCAAACUUAAGUUAGUAAUUAAAAAUAUAAAAUAGGAUAACCCAGUGACAGGACUGUUGGUUGAUGUCACAAAAAAGUUGCAAAUCUCAACAUGUUCUACAGUUGUUAAAAUUAUCUUACUGUAUUUAGAACAAACUAACACCACAGAGUCUACCAAUUCAGGUAGAAGCCAUCAUUCAUUACAAAUUUGAAUAUAUGAUAUUCCAGAAAAUAAUCUGUCUACAAAAUGAGAUACAUUCCGUUUGAACUACCAAAACUGUAACCAACGUUAUUUACCUAAUUAUGAAAAAAGUGCAGUACAUAUAAAUUAUUUCAUCACUGAGAGGAGAUAACCAAAAGUUUCCAAGCAAUAUGAUUAAGAAAAUGGGAUUUAGGCAUCCAAAUGCCACAAAAGACCAAAUCACAUUUUUAAACCAAGUUACACAAAGAAAAUGCACCUAAGCACCAAGAGGAACUGUUACAACUCCAUAAGGUAUAUCCAAGUCACUGCUACUCAUAUUCAAAAAACCUAACUCCAAUAUAACCAGAAAGAUUGUAAAACAUUAUAUCUCCCUGCUGACACGAACUGAAAGCGUAACAAAAAUACCAUCUUCUUUUGUUGAUGCGUUGGUGUUUUAGAGUAGAGGUAAGAAAACCGGAGACCAUAUAUGUAGUUUCUAACAUAUGCAAGAUUACUUAAAAAUUGGAGAUGCAAGAUAGUAGUAUAUAGAAGAAGAAACAAGAGAGAGAUGCAAGAUAGUAGUAUAUAUAGGUGAGUCAACCUAUUAUUCUAGGCAGCUGCCUUGCUAGUGAUUCGGUGUCGUCGCAACUGGAUCCCUCCCACUCGACCUGCGAUCUUCUACAAGGGAAAAGUAGCAGCUCAGUCAACCACCAUAUAAUUAUACAAGGAAAAAAUGCUACUUGGCACAAGUGUAAACGAGAAGCUUGGGGUAGCAGCAGAUUGAAGUGAUAAAGUGCAAAGGAGAAGCUUGAGCUAGUAAACAAUUUCUGAAUGUUAUAAAGUGGGGAAAGUAAAAUAAAAUUCAUGACUAGUCAUGGCACUAGAAAAGAGAUGAGAUUUCACAAAACCAGAGCCAAGCAUAGUCCAGAAUGUCAAAUUUUCAGUUAGUUAAUUAUUACAGUCCUUUGCUAAAAGAGAUGAUCCGUCCAAGAAAUUUAAUACUAGAUGCAUGCAGUCUGUUGAGGAUCUUUUAGUGAAUGACUAACAACAAGUAGCCGAGCUUGCCCAAGAAAGAUUAGAUUCAGAAGUGCUGGCUGCUGCUAGUGAAUGGAGCUGACAGUUAUACAGUGUCAAUUGAUAGUAAGUAGAGUGAGAUGAUCAAACGUUUUUGCUGAAUAGUAGUGGCAGUGUAAUGUUAACUAAAUACAGUUGGCAGUGUAUAUAGUGUUAAUUGACAGUGGCUUGUCCUGGAUAUAACUCAUUUUCUAGGUUUACCUUGGGUAGAUAGCCCAUGAAUGCGGAACAGAUACUUACAUUCAUGCCGUGAGAUAAACUUAUUUUCAGGUAUAAACCAUGGACAAUUACCCGAUGAUACAGUGCAUUUUUCUUCAGUGUAUGUCCAGUGCAUUUUUCUUCUUCUUUCGUUGAGUAGCAUAAAUUAGACCUAUCAUUGUGUAAGAUGCAGGAGUACUUCUUAUACUCUGUGGCAUUUCCAUACUUAGCCAAGAGUCCCCAUUUCUUAUAUUCUGUGAGAUGCAGUCAUCUUUUACUCCAGUUCUUAUAGUAUUUUGGAGUACAUUGCCUGUUAUGCUGGUUGCAAGGUUAGCAUAGGUUCAGAAAUGGGGACUAAAAAACAGUGAUUUAGUUCUCCAAUUCAAUUUUCAUUUUCAAGUUUAAAUUUGAAUAUCAACAGUAGUGAUUUUACACCCAGUUCAAUAGUGAUUUUACCUCGAUUUCAAUGGUAAUUUCAGCAGCAGAGUCGGGGGCGGGGACUAAAAAAUCUUAACCCUAACAGCAUAGUGGAGCGCGUCUGUUAGCAUGUCUUCCCUUUCUUGUUAGCAUGUCUCUCAAAAAGAGAAGCAAUGGUUCCGAUCCUCUUAAUUCUUCAAUAAUUACAUUCUAUCAAUCAUAAUGACAUAGUUGAACAAAUUAUAUGCAAAAUUAUGUGUAUGAGUUCAUCAGUUCAUCUACUUGUGCACUACAUCUAGUGAGAGAAGGAAGCCCGGUAAUGUGUACUGCAAAAUUAUGAACUCAUACGCAUCUAGCCGAAAUCAUAAUGUACUGCAAAAUUGUGCAUAUGAGUCAAAUUCAGAUGGAUGGAGACGUACUGGAAAAUCACAUUGAUAUACUGCAAAAUUAUGUGUAUGUGUAGUGUAAAAUACAGAAGGGGAUGAGGUACCUCACUAUCUCUCUCUGAAGAAGGCUUGAUCAGGGGAUGAGGGGUAUCAACUGCGGUCGGCCGGCGUCAGGGAGAUCCGGCGGUGGGCCGACGAUCGCCUCCAGCCACGGAGAUCGCCUCCAGCCACGUCUCCUCCACGAGCAGCUCCGGACUUGGCAAGGCGGAGGUUGCGGCGCGCGCGGGCGAGGGCGAGGUUGGUGUCGGCCCUGCGGCGCUGCUCCGGCGAGAGUGGGGUGGGGUCGGAGGGGAGGAAGGGGAGGAUGGGGAGAGGGAGGCGUCNNNNNNNNNNNNNNNNNNNNNNNNNNNNNNNNNNNNNNNNNNNNNNNNNNNNNNNNNNNNNNNNNNNNNNNNNNNNNNNNNNNNNNNNNNNNNNNNNNNNNNNNNNNNNNNNNNNNNNNNNNNNNNNNNNNNNNNNNNNNNNNNNNNNNNNNNNNNNNNNNNNNNNNNNNNNNNNNNNNNNNNNNNNNNNNNNNNNNNNNNNNNNNNNNNNNNNNNNNNNNNNNNNNNNNNNNNNNNNNNNNNNNNNNNNNNNNNNNNNNNNNNNNNNNNNNNNNNNNNNNNNNNNNNNNNNNNNNNNNNNNNNNNNNNNNNNNNNNNNNNNNNNNNNNNNNNNNNNNNNNNNNNNNNNNNNNNNNNNNNNNNNNNNNNNNNNNNNNNNNNNNNNNNNNNNNNNNNNNNNNNNNNNNNNNNNNNNNNNNNNNNNNNNNNNNNNNNNNNNNNNNNNNNNNNNNNNNNNNNNNNNNNNNNNNNNNNNNNNNNNNNNNNNNNNNNNNNNNNNNNNNNNNNNNNNNNNNNNNNNNNNNNNNNNNNNNNNNNNNNNNNNNNNNNNNNNNNNNNNNNNNNNNNNNNNNNNNNNNNNNNNNNNNNNNNNNNNNNNNNNNNNNNNNNNNNNNNNNNNNNNNNNNNNNNNNNNNNNNNNNNNNNNNNNNNNNNNNNNNNNNNNNNNNNNNNNNNNNNNNNNNNNNNNNNNNNNNNNNNNNNNNNNNNNNNNNNNNNNNNNNNNNNNNNNNNNNNNNNNNNNNNNNNNNNNNNNNNNNNNNNNNNNNNNNNNNNNNNNNNNNNNNNNNNNNNNNNNNNNNNNNNNNNNNNNNNNNNNNNNNNNNNNNNNNNNNNNNNNNNNNNNNNNNNNNNNNNNNNNNNNNNNNNNNNNNNNNGGGUGCGGGGGGUCGGCGGCGGCGGUUGAGUAGGGGAGGGGUGCGGGGGGUCGGCGGCGGCGGUUGAGUAGGGGAAUCGAGAGGGUGCGGGCGGUCGGCGGCGGCGGCCGGUGGACCGGAUCUGGCGAGGUGGGAUAGCGAUCGAGAUGGAGGAGGAUCGAGAUCGAGUGUCCAUGAAAUUAAAAAAUAUUCAUGAUAGUUCAAAAAGUGCCCAUGAAAUAUAAUCGAGAAAUGAAGUCUACGAUUUAAAUACAAUCGAUCUUAGCUAGCUAUCUGUUCACAAUCUUCUUGCCCUUCUUUUUCGCAAAUGGAGUUCUUCUAUGGAACGGACGUCCUUUAGGUAGGGUGGUCCUGCUUCUUCUUGUGGUGUAUGCUGCUACUUCAUCAUCGUCGUCAUGUUCGAUCCUCGGGUCGCCGUACUUGUCGAAGUCUUGCUCAUUGGUUACUCCAUCCAUUCCGAUGAUCUUCCUUUUGCCUCUCCUCACGACAACACGACUGGGCUUUGGCGGGUCGGUAAUGAAGAAGCAUUGGUCCACUUGGGAAGCCAGUACCCAUGGCUCAUUUUUCGCAGUGACGUUUGCGCCCGCGGUCUUGGAUUUGGCUUCGGGUAUAACCAUGGUGGUGAAAUACCGGUCUUCUUUUAUGACGUUCUUGGCCCAUCUGACACGGAACAUCGGGACCUUCUCUCCAGCGUAGCUCAGCUCCCAGAUCUCCUCGAUCCUUCCGUAGUAUCUGUCCUUGUCGUUACCGGUGUAGGAUUCCAUCGUUACCCCGGAGUUCUGAUAACCAUCGCUCUUCAUGUCCUUGGCCUCGGUGUAGAAUGUGUAGCCGUUGAUAUCGUACGCCUCAUAGGUCAUCAGGUUGUGCUCGGCGCCCUGUGACAAGGCGAAUAUGAGUUGUUCUUCCGCGGAAGAAUCCUCAUGUAAAGGGUACGACAGAAGCUUCUGCUUGAACCAAUGCGUGAAACAUGAGUUGUGCUCUUUGAGUAUGUCUCCGUCCAUCCUCUGUUGGCCUCGGUCAUUGUACGUCUUCUUAAUAAAGGUUUUGUGCUCUACCACCCAAGGAUCGACCACGUCUAUGUGUUGUAGCGCGACUAGGUUUGCUCUUUCAAAGUCGGCGAGUCGACCCUCGAAGUUGACAUACAUUUCGCGGCGACCCUCACGGUGACCCCAUCCAGCGAGCCUGCCGAGGUGCCCGUUGACGGGCAGACCAACGGGGUUCUCGAUGCCUAGAUAAUUCGUGCAGUAGGAGAUGCACUCUUCGGUCAGAAAGCCCCUGGCUAUGCUUCCCUCUGGACGUGACAUGUUGCGAACGUAUCCUUUGAUGACACCAUUCAUCCUUUCGAACGGCAUCAUGCUGUGCAGGAACGUCGGCCCAAGUUGGAUGAUAUCCUCCACUAUAUGGACCAGCAGAUGCACCAUAACGUCGAAGAAUGCGGGCGGGAAGUACAUCUCAAGCUCGCAUAGUAUCACCACGAUCUCUUCCUGUAGCCUUCUGAGUUGCCUCACGCCAAUCGACUUCCGAGAGAUGACGUCGAAGAAGUUGCAUAGGCCAAAUAGCGUUUCAUGGACGUGCGCGUCCAUGAUCCCACGGAUUGCAACUGGAAGUAUCUGCGUCAUCAGCACGUGACAGUCGUGAGACUUCAUCCCGCUGAACUUCUGCUUCGCUGGGUCUAGGUAUCUGCUUAUCUUUCCCGCGUAACCGUAAGGAAGUUUUACUCCUAGGAGGCAGGUGAAAAACUGCUCGAUCUCCUCCUGACUUAGAGUGAAGCACGCGGGAGGGUAGUCAUUUCCGGUCUUCUUGGCCUUUUUGCCUUUGCGACGACUUUCUGUGUCCUGCUUCGCCUCAUCAUCAUCAUCAUCAUCAUCAUCAUCAUCAUCAUCAUCAUAUAUAGCGUGAAGCUCCUGCCUGAUGCCCAUUGAUUUCAAGUCUGCCCUUGCUUUCGGCCCAUCUUUGGUCCUCUCUGGCAUGUUGAGCAGGGUACCAAGCAGACUCUCGCACACGUUCUUCAUGAUAUGCAUGACAUCAAGGCUGUGAGGCACACGGUGGAUCUUCCAGUACGACAAGUCCCAAAAAACAGACCUCGUUUUCCAUACCUUCAGCAGCGGCUCUGGCGCCUUUUGCUUCUUUCCCGGCAGUGGGCAGUCUUUCCAAUUUUUCAACAGCUUGUCUAUUUCCUCGCCGCUCCUCGUACACGGGCGUUUUCGGGGUUCGGUUUCACCAUCGAACAGAUCCUUGUGUUUCCUCCACGGGUCAUCGUCGCGAAGCCACCUUCGAUGUCCCAUGAACACGGUUUUCGAAGACCCGGGAUCUCUAUCUAGCUGGCGAUACGUUGUGUCAUCCAUGCACCUUACGCAUCCAGAAGAUCCGUGGACUACCUGCCCCGCAAGAUAUCCGUAACCGAGAUAGUCAUGCAUCGUCGUGAGCAGUGCGACUCUCAUAGGGAAAUAUUCUUUCUCUGCGGCGUCCCAUGUAUUGGCUGGCGUUUUCCAUAGCGUGUCAAUCUCCUCUUUCAGCAGCCCCAGAUACAGAUUGAUGUCGUUCCCUGGUUGUUUCGGCCCUUCAAUUAGCAUACUCAUGUGAAUGUACUUCCUCUUCAUGCACAACCAGGGGGGAAGGUUGUACAUCCACACAAACACAGGCCAGGUGCUAUGUGUGCUUCUCUGGCUGCCAAACGGAUUGACUCCAUCGGUGCUCGCGCCCAGCAUGAUGUUCCUUGGAUCGUUCCCAAAUUCUGGGUAUUCGAAGUUCAACGCUUGCCACUGGCUCGCAUCCUUAGGGUGACUCAGCAUCUUGUCUUUUUUAUCUAUCUCCGGAUCAUUUGCGUCAUCUUCUCGCUUCUUCUCCUCCCUAUCCGCGUGCCAACGCAGGAGCUUUGCUACCUUAGGGUCCGUGAAAUACCGCUGCAGACGAGGAGUGAUCGGAAAGUACCACACCACUUUUCGAGGAGCUUUCUUCCUCUUCUUGUAUCGAGUGACACCGCACACCGGACAUAUGGUAGACUCCGCGUGCUCGUCCCGAUAAAUGAUGCAAUUGUUCAUGCACACAUGGUAUUUCACGUGCGGUAAAUCCAGAGGACACACGAUUUUCUUCGCCUCCUCGAAACUGGUCGGGCACUUGUUCCCCUUGGGAAGACGUUCGUGCCAGAAUGACAUGUUCUCGUCGAAGCAUGCGUCGGUCAUUUUGUGUUUUACCUUCAUCUCCAGAGCCACGAGCGUUACUUUCAGGUGGGUAUCCUCGGGCCUGCAUCCUUCAUACAAUGGAGUAACCGCGUCUAACUCAAGUUGAUCCAUCUUGGCUUUCUCUCGGGCGGCAGCUCUUGCGUUAUCCGUCUGCUUGAGAAGCAGCUCUUGAAUAUGAGGGUCCUGCACCCAGCCCAUCGAUGGUCCAGCGUCGUCUGCUCCGCCGGCAUCAUCAUCAUGUCCUGCAUCUUCUACAUGAUGACUGUGUAUAGCAUCACCGUCGUGAUCUUCUCUUGGGGAUUCUUCGUCUUCUCGCCCCCCCGAGCCGCGGUGGUUGUCUUGCUGCCCUUCCUCAUUUCUUGCCCGGCCCCCAUGGACGACUUUGUAGUCAUCUUCAUCACCUUGCCACCGAUAGCCAUCCAUGAAACCACGCAAGAGCAGGUGGUCCCGCACCUGCCCGGAAUCCGGGUCCGCAAUAAGGCUAUUCAGCUUGCAUCUUCGACACGGACAUCUUAUCUCCGUCUCGUUCUUUUGAAGCAUCUCGGCCUUCGCGGACCUCAAAAACCUAUUCACGAUGCCUUCGGUCAUCGUGCGGACCAUGGUCGCCUGCGGGGUAGAGCAAAAUGAUAUUUUAGAACCAAGAAAAAAUUUGGCAUGACUUUCCCUAAAAAUAGGACCAAAAAGAAUGCUUAAUGCCAAAAUUCUCGCCGAAACGGAAAUGAAUCAACAUUCCGGCAAAAUAUUGGCAACUAUCGCAUUUCAAAUACUGGUACACCUCCAAACACAAACACAUAUGCAACACCACAAACAUAUGCAACACCACGAACAUACAUAGAUCUAGCUAGGCCAUAAAAAGUGCAUGUGCACAUUGUUGUAGGGAGAACAACAUAAAUAUAGCUUCCCCCUUACUUACCUAGCAAAACAAGGUAACUUAACCACUUAAUUUGAAUGAAUCUAUGGUGGAAAUGAGGUGAAAAAGAGGAGGCACCCGAGACAAGGAGGAGGCGGUGGAGAGAAUGAAGUGGGGAGAAAGUGAGUGUGGGAGGAGAGGCUGUCCAAAAUAUCUUGUUGCUGCCCACUUACUAAUGGCGCACCAGCAACAAAUGCGCCAUUAGUAAUCCAGGUUACCAAUGGCGCACCCCCUGGUGGUGCGCCAUUAGUACUUUUGCAAAAAAAGGAACAAAAACAAUAAUAAAAAAAUAACAUUAGUGGCGCACCUUCUGGCUGGUGUGCCAUUACUAGUUACAACUAGUAAUGGCGCACCACCAGUGGAUGCGCCAUUAGUAUGUUUGGACAGGCGCACUAGUUCAAAAAUAAAUAAAUUUGGUACUAAUGGCGCACCAUGGGCAGGGUGCGCUAUUAGUAGUUUCAACACUAAUGGCGCAUCAGAAGGUGGUGCGCCAUUAGUAUAUACUAAUGGCGCACCACAUGUCUGGUGCGCCAUUAGUGUCAUUUCCAUCUAUAGCCCUUUUCCUAGUAGUGUACUGUUUUCUUAAUGUCAAAUACAUAUUCCUCAGACUAUGAGAUUAUGCAACUCCCGGACACCGGAGGAAUACCUUGUGUGCUAUCAAACGUCACAACGUAACUGGGUGAUUAUAAAGAUGCUCUACAGGUAUCUCCGGAGGUGUUUGUUGGCUUGGCAUAGAUCGAGAUUAGGAUUUGUCACUCUGAGUAUCGGAGAGGUAUCUCUGGGCCCUCUCGGUAAUGCACAUCAUAUGAAGCCUUGCAAGCAAUGUGACUAAUGAGUUAGUUGCGGGAUGAUCCAUUACGGAACGAGUAAAGAGACUUGCCGGUAACGAGAUUGAACUAGGUAUGAAGAUACCGACGAUCGAAUCUCGGGCAAGUAACAUACCGAUGACAAAGGGAGUAACGUAUGUUGACAUUGCGGUUUGACCGAUAACGAUCUUCAUAGAAUAUCUGGGAACCAAUAUGAGCAUCCAGGUUCUGCUAUUGGUUAUUGACCGGAGAGGUGUCUCGGUCAUGUAUACAUAGUUCUCGAACUCGUAGGGUCCGUACGCUUAACGUUCGAUGACGAUAUGUAUUAUAUGAGUUAUGUGUUUUGGUGACCGAAGAUUGUUUGGAGUCCCGGAUGAGAUCACAGACAUGAUGAGGAGUCUCGAAAUAGUCGAGUGAUAAAGAUUGAUAUAUUGGACGAUAGUAUUCGGACAUCGGAAUGGUUCCAGAGUGUUUCGGGUAUUUAUCGGAGUACAGACGGGUAACCGGAACCUCCCGGGGAAGUAAUGGGCCAUAUGGGCCAUAGGGGAGAGGCAACGCAGCCCAGAAGGGGGUGCCCCCCCAAUGGGGAGUCCUAUUUGGACAAGGGGAGGGGGCGCGGCCCCCUUUCCUUCUCCCUCUCCCUCUCCUUCCCCAUUCCCCCCUCCGAUAGAAGGAAGGGGGACCAAAUAGGACUAGGAAUCCAAGUGGGAUUCCUCCCCACUUAGCGCGCCUAGGCCGGCCUCCUCCCAUCUCCCUCCUUUAUAUAUGGGGGGCACCCCUAGGAGACACAACAAUUGCUCUUAGCCGUGUGUGCCCCCCUCUCCACAGUUUAUGCCUUCGGUCAUAUUCUCGCGGUGCUUAGGCUAAGCCCUGUGUGGAUCACAUCACCAUCACCAUCACCACGCCGUCGUGCUAACAGAACUCAUCUACUCCUUCGACCCUCUGCUGGAUCAAGAGCUCGAGGGACGUCAUCAUGCUGAACCUGUGCAGAACUCGGAGGUGCCAUACAUUCGGUACUCGAUCGGUCGGAACGAGAAGAUGUUCGACUACAUCAACCGUGUUAAGCAAACACUUCCGCUUUCGGUCUAUGAGGGUACGUGGAUACACUCUCCUCCUCUCGUUGCUAUGCAUCUCCUAGAUAUAUCUUGCGUGAGCGCAGGAUUUUUUUUGAAAUUGCAUGCUAUGUUUCCCAAUAGUGGCAUCUGAGCCAGGUCUAUGCGUAGAUGAUACGCACGAGUAGAACACAAAGAGUUGUGGGCGGUGAUCAUCAUACUGCUUACCACCAAUGUCUUAUUUUGAUUCGGUGGUAUUGUUGGAUGAAGCGGCCCGGACCAACCUUACAUGACCACGUUCAUGAGACCGGUUCCACCGACAGACAUGCAACUAGUUUUGCAUAAAGGUGGUUGGAGGAUGUAUGUUUCUCCAACUUUAGUUGAAUCAAAUUCGACUGCAGCCGGUCCUUGUGAAGGUUAAAACAGCAAACUUGAUAAAUCACUGUUGUGGUUUUCGUGCCGUAGGUAAGUACGGUUCUUGCUAGAAGCCCGUAGCAGCCACGUAAAACUUGCAACAACAAAGUAGAGGAUGUCUAACUUGUUGGGAAACACAGUAAUUUCAAAAAAAAUCCUACGAUCACGCAAGAUCUAUCUAGGUGAUGCAUAGCAACGAGAGGGGAGAGUGUUGUCUACGUACUCUCGUAGACCGAAAGCGAAAGCGUUAUGAAAACGCGGUUGAUGUAGUCGUACGUCUUCACUAUCCGACCGAUCCUAGCACCGAAGGUACGACACCUUCGCCAUCUGCACACAUUCAGCUCGGUGACAUCCCACGAACUCUAGAUCCAGCUAAGGUCGAGGGAGAGUUUCGUCAGCACAAUGGCAAGAUGACGGUGAUGAUGAAGUUAUCGACGCAGGGCUUCGCCUAAGCACUAAUACGAUAUGACCGAGGUGGAAAUCUAUGGAGGGGGGCACCACACACGGGUAAACAAUCAACUUGUGUGUCUAUGGGGUGCCCCCUCCCCCGUAUAUAAAGGAGUGGAGGAGGGGAGGGCCGCCCCUCUCUAUGGGGCGCCCAAGGGGGGGGGGAGUCCUACUCCCAGUAGGAGUAGGUUUCCCGCCUUCCCUAGUUGGAGUAGGAGAAGAAGGAAAAGGGAGAGGGAGAGAAGGAAAGGGGACCGGCCCCCUUCCCAAUUCGGAUUGGGCUUGGGGGGCAUGCCCCCACCUUGGCCGCCUCCUCCUCUAUUCCACCAUGGACGCCUCCUCCUCUAUUCCACCAUGGCCCAUUAAGGCCCAUUAACUCCCCGGGGGGUUCCAGUAACCUCCCGGUACUCCAGAAAAAUGCUCGAACCACUCGGAACCUUUCCAGUGUUCAAACAUAGCCUUCCAAUAUAUCAAUCUUUAUGUCUCGGCCAUUUCGAGACUCCUCGUCAUGUCUGUGAUCACAUACGGGACUCCCAACAACCUUCGGUACAUCAAAACACAUAAACUCAUAAUACCGAUCAUCAUCGAACGUUAAGCGUGCGGACCCUACGGGUUCGAGAACUAUGUAGACAUGACCGAGACUCAUUUCCGGUCAAUAACCAAUAGAGGAACCUGGAUGCUCAUAUUGGUUCCUACAUAUUCUACGAAGAUCUUUAUCAGUCAAACCACAUAACAGCAUACAUUGUUCCUUUUGUCAUCGGUAUGUUACUUGCCCGAGAUUCGAUCGUCGGUAUCAUCAUACCUAGUUCAAUCUCAUUACCGACAAGUCUCUUUACUCGUUCUGUAAUACUUCAUCCCGCAACUAACUCUUUAGUUACAAUGCUUGCAAGGCUUAUAGUGAUGGGUAUUAUCGAGAGGGCCUAGAGAUACCUCUCCGAAACACGGAGUGACAAAUCCUAAUCUCGAUAUAUGCCAACCCAACAGACACCUUCAGAGACACAUGUAGAGCCCCUUUAUAAUCACCCUUUUUACGUUGUGACGUUUGGUAGCACACAAAGUGUUCCUCCGGUAUUCGGGAGUUGCAUAAUCUCAUAGUCUGUGGACCUUGUAUAAGUCAUGAAGAAAGCAGUAGCAAUGAAACUGACACGAUCAUAAUGCUAAGCUAACAGAUGGGUCAUAUCCAUCACAUCAUUCUCCUAAUGAUGUGAUCCCGUUCAUUAAAUGACAACACAUGUCUAUGGUUAGGAAACAUAACCAUCUUUGAUUAACGAGCUAAUCAAGUAGAGGCAUACAAGGGACUACAAGUUUUGUCUAUGUAUUCACACAUGUACUAAGUUUUCGGUUAAUACAAUUCUAGCAUGAAUAAUAAGAAUUUAUCAUGAAUUAAGGAAAUAAAUAAUAACUUUAUUAUUGCCUCUAGGGCAUAUUUCCUUCAGUAUCCCACUUGCACUAGAGUCAAUAAUCUAGAUUACAUAGUAAUGAUUCUAACACCCAUGGAGCUUUGGUGUUGAUCAUGUUUUGCUCGUGGAAGAGGCUUAGUCAAUAGGUCUACAACAUUCAGAUCCGUAUGUAUCUUGCAAAUCUCAAUGUCCCCUUCGACUCUUGAUGACGGAUGGAAUUGAAGCGUCUCUUGAUGUGCUUGGUUGUCUUGUGAAAUCUGGAUUCCUUUGCCAAGGUAAUUGCACCAGUAUUGUCACAAAAGAUUUUCGUUGGACCCGAUGCACUAGGUAUGACACCUAGAUGGGAUAUGAACUCCUUCAUCCAAACUCCUUCAUUUGUUGGUUCUGAAGCAGUAAUGUACUCUUCUUCACACGUAUAUCCCUCCACGACGCUCUGCUUGGAACUGCACCAACUGAUAGCUCCUCCAUUCAAUAAAAAUACGUAUCCGGUUUGCAACUUAGAGUCAUCCGGAUCAGUGUCAAAGCUUGCAUCAACGUAACUGUUUACGAUGAGCUCCUUUUCACCUCCAUAAACAAGAAACAUAUCCUUAGUCCUUUUCAGGUAUUUCAGGAUGUUCUUGACCGUUGUCCGGUGCUCCACUCCGGGAUUACUUUGGUACCUCCCUGCUAUGUUUAUAGCAAGACAUACAUCAGGUCUAGUACACAACAUUGCAUACAUGAUAGAACCUAUGGCUGAAGCAUAGGGAAUGACUUUCAUUUUCUCUCUAUCUUAUGCAGUGGUCGUGCAUUGAGUCUGACUCAACUUCACACCUUGUAACACAGGCAAGAACCCUUUCUUUGACUGAUCCAUUUUGAACUUUUUCAAAACUUUAUCAAGGUAUGUGCUUUGUGAAAGUCCAAUUAAGCGUCUUGAUCUAUAUUUAUAGAUCUUGAUGCCCAAUAUGUAAGCAGCUUCACCGAGGUCUUUCAUGGAAAAACUCUUAUUCAGAUAUCCCUUUAUGCUAUCCAGAAAUUCUAUAUCAUUUCUAAUCAACAAUAUGUCAUCCACAUAUAAUAUCAAAAAUGCUACAGAGCUCCCACUCACUUUCUUGUAAAUACAGGCUUCUCCAAAAGUCUGUAUAAAACCAUAUGCUUUGAUCACACUAUCAAAGCAUUUAUUCCAACUCCGAGAGCCAUGCACCAGUCCAUAAAUGGAUCGCUGGAGCUUGCACACUUUGUUAGCACCCUUUGGAUCGACAAAACCUUCUGGUUGCAUCAUAUACAACUCUUCUUCCAGAAAUCCAUUCAGGAAUGCAGUUUGGACAUCCAUUGCCAAAUUUCAUAAUCAUAAAAUGCAGCAAUUGCUAACAUGAUUCGGACAGACUUAAGCAUCGCUACGGGUGAGAAAGUCUCAUCGUAGUCAACUCCUUGAACUUGUCGAAAACCUUUCGCAACAAGUCGAGCUUUGUAAAUAGUAAUAUUAUCGUCUGUGUCGGUCUUCUUCUUAAAGAUCCAUUUAUUUUCUAUGGCUUGCCGAUCAUCGGGCAAGUCCACCAAAGUCCACACUCUGUUCUCAUACAUGGAUCCCAUCUCAGAUUUCAUGGCUUCAAGCCAUUUCACGGAAUCUGGGCUCAUCAUCGCUUCCUCAGAGUUCAUAGGUUGAUCAUGGUCUAGUAACAUGACUUCCAGAACAGGAUUACCGUACCACUCUGGUGCGGAUCUUACUCUGGAAGACCUACGAAGAUUGGUAGUAACUUGAUCUAAAGUUUCAUGAUCAUCAUCAUUAGCUUCCUCACUAAUUGGUGUAGGAAUCACUAGAACUGAUUUCUGUGAUGAACUACUUUCCAAUAAGGGAGAAGGUACAAUUACCUUAUAAAGUUCUAUUUUCCUCCCAAUCACUUCUUUCGAGAGAAACUCCUUCUCUAGAAAGGAUCCAUUCUUAGCAACAAAUAUUUUGCCUUCGGAUCUAUGAUAGAAGGUGUACCCAACAGUUUCCUUUGGGUAUCCUAUGAAGACGCACUUCUCCGAUUUGGGUUUGGGCUUAUCAGGUUGAAGCUUUUUCACAUAAGCAUCGCAACCCCAAACUUUAAGAAACGACAACUUUCGUUUCUUGCCAAACCACACUUCAUAAGGUGUCGUCUCAACGGAUUUUGAUGGUGCCCUAUUUAAAGUGAAUGCAGCCAUCUCUAAAGCAUAACCCCAAAACGAUAGCGGUAAAUCAGUAAGAGACAUCAUAGAUCACACUAUAUCCAACAGAGUAUGGUUACGAUGUUUGGGCACACCAUUUCAUUGUCGUGUUCCAGGUGAAGUUAAUUGUGAAACUAUCCCAUGUUGUUUCAAAUGAAGACCAAAAUCGUAACUCAAAUAUUCUCCUGCACGCUCAGAUCGUAGAAACUUUAUUUUCUUGUUACGAUGAUUUUCCACUUCACUCUGAAAUUCUUUGAACUUUUCAAAUGUUUCAGACUUAUGCUUCAUUAAGUACAUAUAACCAUAUCUGCUCAAAUCAUGUGUGAAGGUAAGAAAAUAAUGAUACCCACCACGAGCUUCAAUACUCUUUGGACCGCAUACAUUGGUAUGUAUUAUUUCCAACAAGUCAGUAGCUCGUUCUAUUGUUCCGGAGAAUGGAGUUUUCCUCAUCUUGCCCAUGAGGCACGGUUCGCAAGCACCAAGUGAUUCAUAAUCAAGUGAUUCCACAAGUCCAUCAGCAUGGAGUUUCUUCAUGCGCUUUAUACCGAUAUGACCCAAACGGCAGUGCCACAAAUAAGUUGCACUAUCAUUAUCAACUUUGCAUCUUUUGGCUUCAAUACUAUGAAUAUGUGUAUCAUCACUAUCGAUAUUCAACAAAAAUAGACCACUCAGCAAAGGUGCAUGACCAUAAAAGAUAUUACUCAUAUAAAUAGAACAACCAUUAUUCUCUGAUUGAAAUGAAUAACCGUCUCGCAUCAAACAAGAUCCAGAUAUAAUGUUCAUGCUCAACACUGACACCAAAUAACAAUUAUUCAGGUCUAAAUCUAAUCUCGAUGGUAGAUGUAGAGGUAGCGUGUCGACGGCGAUCACAUUGACCUUGGAACCAUUUCCCACGCGCAUCGUCACCUAGUCCUUAGCCAAUCUUCGCUUAAUACAUAGCCCCUGCUUCGAGUUGCAAAUAUGAGCAAUAGAACCAGUAUCAAAUACCCAGGCGCUACUGCGAGCAUUAGUUAAGUACACAUCAAUAACAUGUAUAUCAGAUAUACCUUUCACUUUGCCAUCCUUCUUAUCCGCCAAAUAAUUGGGGCAGUUCCGCUUCCAGUGACCAGUCCCUUUGUAGUAGAAGCACUCAGGUUCAGGCUUAGGUCCAGACUUG
rnacentral:lncRNA from 1 species